UCUCUGCUCACCGGUCUCUCCUGCCAUUCCCCUUGCUGCAGUGCCACACCUCUUUCCUCCCUCCAUCCACUGGGGUCACCAGCCCUGCACUGCUGAGUCUCCACCCUUUUAUCUGCAAUGUCACUACACACCUCACUGGAGGACUUACUAAUGAGGCUGAAACUUCAGACUUUGGAGAAGAGAAGAGAAGACGGUUUGGAGCAGAGGACCAGUGUGGAUAUCCAAGUCUGGGCUGGUUUAGCUCUGCAUCUGUCUCUGCUGCACUGUCUGCAGGCACAGGAGUGCAGACUAUUUAAUUUGCACUGGGGACUGCCUUUGACUCCAUGAAUAAGAAAGCACCUUUAAACACUCCCCACCUCUACUGAGCUGCAUGUUCCUGGUUUCCAGCUCCUGUGUGCACUUGGCCAGCAGGAUCAGAGCUGGGCCUACAAGGGCAGGCGUGAUGGGAAGACAGAGUUAAGACUGAAAUAUGAAACAGAGAACUUAGCACCCUCCAGUUUUGUCUUUUGUUCACCCAGCUUCAUAUAUGCUUAAGACAAGGAUAAUGUGGAUGGUCACUGCAGUGCCCUUUUUGUGGGCUGGGAUUUCUAUUGCCCAUGCUUUUUCCAAGGGAAACUUUUCCUGACUGCACCGUUUGUGUGUUGGAGGAUGUGGAGCUCUUUGUACCUGAGAGCCCAAAUGAGAAUUCUAAAGGCAACACAAGCCCCCAGGACAUUGUUUUCCAGUCCAUGAACAGAAGCUUUUGGCUGCUGCAGAAGUUCCCCUCUGUCUCAUCUGAAGCUGCUGUAAAGCAUCUGCCAAUGCCCUGAUGUUCCCCCACCCAAAGGGAAUUAAUGGCUGAGCUGGAAUGAAGAGCACAGCACAGAGAGCAGGCAUGGCCCAGACCUCACAGCACUAAUUAUGCCCUUAAAGGGACUGAAUUACUAAUUUUGGACAGUCACAGGAGCUGCUCUGGAAAUGCUUGCUGGAGGUAGGCUUAUCCCUUUCCUUUUCCCUUACUGCCUCUUCACCUUUUCCUCCUGUACAUUCCCAAUGACAACUUAAUUUUGUUCCAGCUCACUGGAGAAUCAAGUCAGUUUUAUUAAUGCAAAUAACCAUUAACUAAAUUAAGAUGAUAUAAGAAACAGAGAUCAGUUUAAAGAAGACUUAUACGGACACUGGGGGAAGCAGAGCAAGGCAGGUGUGUCCACCUACAACCACCUGAAAGGGAAAACCCCAUUUAUUCAAUACACUUGUGUUGGCAUCAUUAUUAACCCUUAUGGCAGUACCUGGCUCAGCUCCCUGUUAUGCAGGUGGAAUCCACACUUUAAAAGCUUAAUCUGUGGUACCAGGGAGAAGGUUUUUUGCUGAAAAGUCUGGGCUUUACAAGAAAAUGCAGCUGUGUAGGGAACAGGAAAAUGCAGUGGAAAACAGGAUGUGCAGCUUAAUGCUAAAUAGUGAUACACUGAAUAAAUUACUAUAAAGAACUAACUCUUCUUCAAUGUAAUUACACUGGGGGUUUUUUUUCCAUUUCAGAGGAGAGGAAACAGCCUAAUUGGAUAUAUGGGAAAUGAAGCCAGGGAAAGGGAAGUGGCUUUUUGUCCACUCACUGUAAACCUGUGGG